rnacentral:rRNA from 1 species
GGGCCCGCACAAGCGGUGGAGUAUGUGGUUUAAUUCGAAGCAACGCGAAGAACCUUACCUGGGCUUAACAUCCCUUGACAACCACAGAGAUGUGGCUUUGCCUUCGGGCACAAGGAGAUAGGUGCUGCAUGGCUGUCGUCAGCUCGUGUCGUAAGAUGUUGGGUUAAGUCCCGCAACGAGCGCAACCCCUGUCCUUAGUUACCACCAUUAAGUUGGGGACUCUAGGGAGACUGCCGGUGUUAAACCGGAGGAAGGCGGGGAUGACGUCAAGUCCUCAUGGCCCUUACGUCCAGGGCUACACACGUACUACAAUGGCAGAGACAAACCGAUGCUAAAUCGCGAGAUGGAGCUAAUCGGAAAAACACUGUCCCAGUCCGGAUUGAAGUCUGCAACUCGACUUCAUGAAGUUGGAAUCGCUAGUAAUCGCAGAUCAGCACGCUGCGGUGAAUACGUUCCCGGGCCUU